rnacentral:tRNA from 1 species
GCAGUCCAGAGGUUAGGACUCUGCGUUCUCAAUGCUGAGGGCCUGGGUUCAAUUCCUAGUGUG